CCUACGGGAGGCAGCAGUGAGGAAUAUUGGUCAAUGGGCUUACGCCUGAACCAGCCAAGUCGCGUGAGGGAAGACUGCCCUAUGGGUUGUAAACCUCUUUUGUCAGGGAGCAACGCCGGCUACGUGUAGCCGGACUGAGAGUACCUGAAGAAAAAGCAUCGGCUAACUCCGUGCCAGCAGCCGCGGUAAUACGGAGGAUGCGAGCGUUAUCCGGAUUGAUUGGGUUUAAAGGGUGCGUAGGCGGAAUGCCAAGUCAGCGGUAAAAUCGCGGGGCUCAACCUCGCUCCGCCGUUGAAACUGGCGUUCUUGAGUGGGCGAGAAGUAUGCGGAAUGCGUGGUGUAGCGGUGAAAUGCAUAGAUAUCGCGCAGAACUCCGAUUGCGAAGGCAGCAUACCGGCGCCAAACUGACGCUGAAGCACGAAAGCGUGGGUAUCGAACAGGAUUAGAUACCCUGGUAGUC
rnacentral:rRNA from 1 species